UCCUAAAAGGGAGACGAAGAUACAUGGCCUGAAGCUGGGCACCUAGGCCAUGAAGAGUCAGUGGUGCAACCGACCCAAUUAGCA
rnacentral:ncRNA from 2 species